rnacentral:rRNA from 1 species
AGCSAARGCCMAACCUCCMACCCGUGUUUACUGUACCUUAGUUGCUUCGGCGGGCCCGCCAUUCAUGGCCGCCGGGGGCUCUCAGCCCCGGGCCCGCGCCCGCCGGAGACACCACGAACUCUGUCUGAUCUAGUGAAGUCUGAGUUGAUUGUAUCGCAAUCAGUUAAAACUUUCAACAAUGGAUCUCUUGGUUCCGGCAUCGAUGAAGAACGCAGCGAAAUGCGAUAACUAGUGUGAAUUGCAGAAUUCCGUGAAUCAUCGAGUCUUUGAACGCACAUUGCGCCCCCUGGUAUUCCGGGGGGCAUGCCUGUCCGAGCGUCAUUGCUGCCCAUCAAGCACGGCUUGUGUGUUGGGUCGUCGUCCCCUCUCCGGGGGGGACGGGCCCCAAAGGCAGCGGCGGCACCGCGUCCGAUCCUCGAGCGUAUGGGGCUUUGUCACCCGCUCUGUAGGCCCGGCCGGCGCUUGCCGAACGCAAAUCAAUCUUUUUCCAGGUUGACCUCGGAUCAGGUAGGGAUACCCGCUGAACUUAAGCAUAUCAAUAAGGCGGAGGAA